GACGAACGCUGGCGGCGUGCCUAAUACAUGCAAGUAGAACGCACAGGAUGCACCGUAGUUUACUACACCGUAUUCUGUGAGUUGCGAACGGGUGAGUAACGCGUAGGUAACCUGCCUGGUAGCGGGGGAUAACUAUUGGAAACGAUAGCUAAUACUGCAUAAGAACAUUUACUGCAUGGUAGAUGUUUAAAAGGUGCAAAUGCAUCACUACCAGAUGGACCUGCGUUGUAUUAGCUAGUUGGUGAGGUAACGGCUCACCAAGGCAACGAUACAUAGCCGACCUGAGAGGGUGAUCGGCCACACUGGGACUGAGACACGGCCCAGACUCCUACGGGAGGCAGCAGUAGGGAAUCUUCGGCAAUGGGGGGAACCCUGACCGAGCAACGCCGCGUGAGUGAAGAAGGUUUUCGGAUCGUAAAGCUCUGUUGUUAAGGAAGAACGUGUGUGAGAGUGGAAAGUUCACACAGUGACGGUACUUAACCAGAAAGGACGGCU
rnacentral:rRNA from 1 species